UACGAAGGGGGCUAGCGUUGCUCGGAAUUACUGGGCGUAAAGCGCACGUAGGCGGCUUUGUAAGUUAGAGGUGAAAGCCUGGAGCUCAACUCCAGAACUGCCUUUAAGACUGCAUCGCUUGAAUCCAGGAGAGGUGAGUGGAAUUCCGAGUGUAGAGGUGAAAUUCGUAGAUAUUCGGAAGAACACCAGUGGCGAAGGCGGCUCACUGGACUGGUAUUGACGCUGAGGUGCGAAAGCGUGGGGAGCAAACAGG
rnacentral:rRNA from 1 species